AGAGUUUGAUCCUGGCUCAGGAUGAACGCUAGCGACAGGCUUAACACAUGCAAGGUCGAGGGGCAGCGGGGGUAGCAAUACCUGCCGGCGACCGGCGCACGGGUGAGUAACGCGUAUGCAACUUACCUAUCCAGAGGGGGGAUAACCCGGCGAAAGUCGGACUAAUACCGCCAUGAAGCAGGGAUCCCGCAUGGGAAUAUUUGCUAAAGAUUCAUCGCUGAUAGAUAGGCAUGCGUUCCAUUAGGCAGUUGGCGGGGUAACGGCCCACCAACCGACGAUGGAUAGGGGUUCUGAGAGGAAGGUCCCCCACAUUGGUACUGAGACACGGACCAAACUCCUACGGGAGGCAGCA
rnacentral:rRNA from 1 species